AAACACAUAUGGGGAUAUUUGGUGUCCAAAUUCCUCCAAAUCCACACUCUACUUGUGACUCUCCCUCAAUUCGAAACACAUCAUUGCAAAAAAAAAUGAAGCUGGUCUCCUAAAUUAAACCAGGUUCUAUUUAACUCUAAAGGUUCCUUCAGUGCAAUUAGAGUUUGAGCAAGAUCUAUCUAAAAGCUCCGAGACGUCAUCAUUAAUUUCAUCUAAGAAUAAAUUAACAGGUGUAGAGUAAUACAAUAUAAUCCAGUGGCCUGGUGUAUUUCUAAGCACCAAUAACCUCUUCUAAUAUUCUACUAUAUACCCCCAUCCCACGGGUUGUGCAGGUGAACUGCUGGGCACAAGGCAAGUUAAAUUUAUCCUCCAUCUCUUUCCAGAACAUCAAGAAACCGUCAUAAUAUUCCAAAAUACUCUCCGGCCUCAGGUUGUACAGGUGAGCUGUUGGGCCAAAUACAUUGUUUCUAGACAUCAAUGAACCCUUCUAAUAUA
rnacentral:lncRNA from 1 species